rnacentral:rRNA from 1 species
CAGCCGCCGCGGUAAUGCGUAGGUGGCAAGCGUUGUCCGGAAUUAUUGGGCGUAAAGCGCGCGCAGGCGGAUCAGUCAGUCUGUCUUAAAAGUUCGGGGCUUAACCCCGUGAUGGGAUGGAAACUGCUGAUCUAGAGUAUCGGAGAGGAAAGUGGAAUUCCUAGUGUAGCGGUGAAAUGCGUAGAUAUUAGGAAGAACACCAGUGGCGAAGGCGACUUUCUGGACGAAAACUGACGCUGAGGCGCGAAAGCCAGGGGAGCGAACGGGAUUAGAUACCCCUGUAGUCCCUGUCUCUUAUACA